CCUACGGGAGGCAGCAGUGGGGAAUAUUGCACAAUGGGGGAAACCCUGAUGCAGCGACGCCGCGUGAAGGAAGAAGUAUUUCGGUAUGUAAACUUCUAUCAGCAGGGAAGAAAAUGACGGUACCUGACUAAGAAGCUACGGCUAAAUACGUUACAACAGCCGCGGUAAUACGUAGGGGGCAAGCGUUAUCCGGAUUUACUGGGUGUAAAGGGAGUGUAGGCGGUGCAGCAAGUCAGAAGUGAAAGCCCGGGGCUUAACUCCGGGACUGCUUUUGAAACUGUUGAACUUGAGUGCAGGAGAGGUAAGUGGAAUUCCUGGUGUAGCGGUGAAAUGCGUAGAUAUUAGGAAGAACACCAGUGGCGAAGGCAGCUUACUGGACUGUAAAUGACGCUGAGGCUCGAAAGCGUGGGGAGCAAACAGGAUUAGAUACCCGUGUAGUC
rnacentral:rRNA from 1 species